GCUGCAGGCAGGUUAUUAGUGGAAUUGUACUAAUCAUUAAUUCGAUCAUUAAUAUGUUUGUGCCUUCCUGUUUAUGUAUUAUUCUUGUUUGGGUGUGUUAGUUUCGUAAUAUUUGAUAAAAUUAGAUGUUAUAAAAAUACAAAAGUCUUCAAAAUUAACGUUUAAAGGGCGGAGAGAAUCGAUAUUCAACGAUAAGAUAAGUUAUCUUUACAAAUCAAAAUAUGUUCUAUUUUCAAUGGAACCAGUUGGUUAUUUUACCUGCAGGAUGGUCUGAGUCUGCCUUCCAGACAAAGGUCCAAUUGCUGCAAAAACAAGGGAAACAUCUCAGAAUUGAAGCAGCAAGAUAGUAAGGAAGAACAUCGACAAUCUAUCAUUUUGACUACUUCACAUGCUUUUGUUUUAUGAAAAACAUGUGAAUUUGGGAAAAACCAUAGCAAAGAGAUCCAAGAAGGUUCUAAUUCCCUUGUACUAAGGAGAAUUCUGUAAUGGUGAAAUUAUUCCAGUCCAUGUGUGUGGAUAGUAUCCUUGUGUCGAAGAAGCAUUGGCAUUGAACACCCUCAUUUCCAUUUCAAUUAUCUGCUGUAAAAACACGGGAAAUCUUUCAGAAAUGAAUAUAAUAGGAUACCAAGGAGAAAAUUAAUGAUAAAUUUUCAUCUACGUACUGGUGAAAAGUUUUUAGCUGUUUUAUGGGAUUAAUGUUUCCUCAAUAGUAGCGUCACUUGAAAAGGCCAUUUCCGACCAAUGAACCAGAGAGGAGAAGCGAAAGUUAAAAUUCACAGCCAACUUAGUUGAAGUAUUUGGGCAAAUUUAAAUUAAUUAUAUUUGCAAUGAAAAUAUCGUUGCUUAUUUACUUGAAGAUGAUUAUACCAUAAAGAGAAUCGAAUUGUCUACUAUUUUUCGUUUUAAACUCUGAUGGUUCAAUUGUUUUUUAAUUGUUAAUUAAAAGUUUAAUUAACGCAGUAUUUUAUUUUAUUUCAUUGCAUCAAAAACUAUUUUAUAAGUGUUAUGUGAAUAUCGUCUAUUAGUUUUACUAUGCUGCAAUUAAAAAAAUAA